AUGGAGGCGGCCCUGAAGAGGUACUUCGGGUACACGGGGUUCCGGCCGUACCAACGGGAGAUCGUGGAUACGAUCUUGCAAGGGCGGGACUGCCUGGUCGUCAUGGCCACCGGCAGCGGCAAGUCCAUGUGCUAUCAAAUCCCUCCACUGGUUGCAAAGAAGACAGCUGUUGUUGUCAGCCCUCUUCUGUCACUGAUGCAAGAUCAGGUCAUGAGUUUAAAACAACAUGGUGUGAGAUCUGAGUAUCUUGGCAGCACCCAAAUGAAUAGCUCUGUUAGCGGUGAGGCUGAAAAAGGCAUGUAUGAUGUUCUCUACAUGACCCCUGAGAAAGCUAUUGCACUUCCUUCAAGGUUCUGGAGUAACUUGCAAGCUUCCGGAAUCUGCUUGUUCGCCAUUGAUGAAGCGCAUUGCAUAUCGGAAUGGGGUCAUGAUUUCAGGCCGGAGUACAAGCAGCUGCAUUUAUUGCGUGAGCACCUUUUGGGUGUUCCCUUCGUUGCUCUAACUGCGACAGCCACAGAAAGGGUCCGUGGAGAUAUUGCCAAUUCCUUGAACCUGAGCAAUCCUCACGUUGCAAUCGGAUCAUUUGAUCGUCCUAACCUUUUCUACGGUGUGAAAUCAUACAACCGAUCUAUGUCCUUUAUCAGUGAACUUGUGAAAGAUGUCUCAAAGAACUGCACUGUUGGUGGCUCAACAAUCAUUUACUGUACCACCAUCCGGGAUACUGAACAGGUACAUGAAGCAAUGAUCACUGCUGGAAUCAAAGCUAACAUUUACCAUGGUAAAAUGGGUAGCAAAGCUAGAGAGGAAUCCCAUAGAUCAUUUGUUAGAGAUGAAGUACUUGUGAUGGUGGCAACUAUUGCAUUUGGAAUGGGAAUUGAUAAGCCAGAUGUUAGAUGUGUAAUACACUAUGGAUGUCCUAAGAGCCUAGAAUCGUACUACCAGGAAAGUGGGCGUUGUGGAAGAGAUGGACUGCCUUCAGUGUGCUGGCUAUAUUACCAAAGAAGUGAUUUUGCAAAAGCUGACUUCUAUUGUUCUGAAGCAACAAAUGCAACUCAAAGGAAUGCCAUCAUGGAUUCCUUCAUGGCGGCACAGAAAUAUUGCCUCCUUGCUACGUGUCGCAGAAAAUCCCUGCUGCAGUACUUUGGUGAAGAGCGUUACACCGACUGUGGUAACUGUGAUAAUUGCACAGGGACAAAAAAUGAGAGGGAUUUGUCAAAAGAAUCUUUCUUAUUGCUGUCCUGUGUCAAGUCGUGUGGGGGACGCUGGGGCCUUAAUAUGCCAGUUGAUGUUCUCCGUGGAUCACGAGUUAAAAAGAUACUUGAGAAGAACUACGAUAAACUUCCAAUGCAUGCGAUGGGAAAAGACUAUCCGCCAAACUGGUGGAAAGCACUUGGCAGUCUGCUUAUGGCACAUGGUUACUUAAAGGAGACUGUCAGUGAUGGAUUUAGAUUGGUCAGUGUUAGUCCAAAAGGGGUCAAGUUUCUCUCCGAUGGUGGAACGCCACUGGUUUUGCAGCUGACUGAAGAGAUGAUUGGGCAAGAGGAGCAGGGUAGUUCACAGAAUAAAGAAGGGGGCUUAAAUCCUUUAACCACCGCAGAAUCUGAAAAGAUAUCUGAGGAGGAAUUGAAACUCUACCAAAUGCUCUUGAACGUCAGGAUGAAACUUGCUCAGGAUAUUGGAACUGCACCAUAUGCUAUAUGUGGUGAUCAGACCCUAAGACACUUUGCAAAGAUUAGGCCUUCUACUGGAGCCAGACUGGCCAAUAUUGAUGGUGUAAACCAGCACUUCAUCUCGCGCUACAGUGGCACUUUUGUCCAAAAUAUCGCACAAUUCUCAAAACAGUUGAAUCUUUCGUUGGAUGAUUCAGCAGGAGUAGAGGAUAUGAUGUCAGUUCCAAAACCUGUAAACAACAGUCUUCCAAGAAACUUGGGUGAUGCCAAAUUUACUUCAUGGGAACUGUGGCAGAAACAGGAAUACUCGUUCAAGAAAAUUGCACAUUUUCGCAGAGCAGUGCCGAUAAAAGAGCAGACGGUUAUUUCAUACAUACUUGAUGCUGCUCGGGAUGGAUGUGAGAUGAACUGGAAUAGGUUUUUUGAGGAGACAGGACUGACCCCUGAGAUAGCUUCACAGAUCCGUCUUGCCAUUGCAAAGGUUGGAUCACGUGAGAGGUUGAAGCCAAUAAAAGAAGAGCUUCCAGAAAAUGUAACAUACGAAAUGAUCAAGAUAUUCUUCGCAGCUGAUGAUCUUGGAGCGUUAGAGAAGACUUUUGGCAACGGUCCUACUGACGGGUCUCCUGCCCAAACAGCCGAGUCGGCAAAACCCUGUUCCCAUGGCAGCGAAGCUCUGGAGAAGGGUGAUCAGGGAGACCCCGUCAUCAUAUCAGGCACCUGCGAUUCAAGCCCUUCGACAAAGAGAUCCCAGACCGACGGAACUCCGCUCUCUGCCGAUGAGCCAGUAAUGAAGCUGCAAAAGAUAGAGGAGCAAGGGACCGAACCUACCACCACAAAUGUUGCAACCGAGGACGCUAUACUUGAGCUGGCCGCGAGCCGCAACGGGGUUUCUUUGGAGGACGCCGUCAAGCACUUCAGCGGGUCGAAACGGGAAUCCGUCGUCGAGAUGCUGGAGAGCCUCCGGUGCAGCUUCGCGGUGUACAUGAAGAACGGCUGCUACUUGGUUCUGUGA
rnacentral:rRNA from 1 species